UAUAGCCAAGGAACCUGGAUCAUAGACAAUGUACCAGAAAUUUCUCUGUGGAAAAGAACAACAAGGACAGCCAGGAGAGGGCAGGUCUUUAAGUGGAUAGAAAUGCUUUCAGAAAGUGGCCAAACAUGAUCUGCAAGAUCAGCAAUAUAGAGGCAGAAAUCUAAAAGACUAGACUGCUGGACUUUCCACUUUCAAAACUCCCAAGCCCCAGGUGAAAACAGCAACAGAAAGAUCAAAAGCUGAAGUGAAAGCUAAAGCCUCUGCAGAUGGGCAAGACACCAAAAUGCCUUAGACUCAGAAUAGAACUGUAACAUCAGAUCUACUGGAUCUCCAGCUUGCUGACUGUAAAUCUUAGGACUUCUCAGACUCCAUAACCAAAUCCCAGGCUAAUACAAGAACCAAAUCCACGUCCAAGGAAAGGCAGCAUAGUAAAGCAAGGUACUAUCAGAACCUGGCUGGGAAUAAAGUGGAGGAUUGGGUGGGAGCCUUGUUGGUUAGAAUCAAAUCUGAGUCCCACAUGAGAAGCACAAGAUGAUGAGAGUAAGUUAGGAAGGUGAGAUUUGGUCAGAUGGCCUGAAGUAACUAUA